rnacentral:rRNA from 1 species
UACGAAGGGUGCAAGCGUUAAUCGGAAUUACUGGGCGUAAAGCGUGCGCAGGCGGUUUUGUAAGUCUGUCGUGAAAGCCCCGGGCUCAACCUGGGAAUUGCGAUGGAGACUGCAAGGCUUGAAUCUGGCAGAGGGGGGUAGAAUUCCACGUGUAGCAGCGAAAUGCGUAGAGAUGUGGAGGAACACCGAUGGCGAAGGCAGCCCCCUGGGUCAAGAUUGACGCUCAUGCACGAAAGCGUGGGGAGCAAACAGG